CCCUUCGAUGUUCUGGGCUGCACGCGCGCUACAAUGGCAACGACAGAAAGCGAAAUUAGUUGCGGUUGCAUCGAGAGAUGCGACGAAUCAGCAAUCGUUGUCUUGAUUGGGAUUGAGCCUUGUAAUAUUUGCUCAUGAAAGAGGAAUUCCUCGUAAGCGCGAGUCACCAACUCGUGUUGAAUACGUCUCUGCCCUUUGUACACACCGCCCGUCGCUCCUACCGAUCGAAGAGUUAGGUGAAUUGUUUUGAUCGAUAAGAUUUGACUAUGGUCAACUCUCGUUGUGAAAUUCUGUGAAUCUGACUGUUUAGAGGAAGGAAAAGUCGUAACA
rnacentral:rRNA from 1 species